UCCGAGUUGACCCCGGCAGUCUCCUACGAGUCCCCGGCAUUACCCGCUGGCAACAUAGGACAAGGGUUGCGCUCGUUGCGGGACUUAACCCAACAUCUCACGACACGAGCUGACGACGGCCAUGCAGCACCUGUGCAGGGACUCCGAAGAGGGGACUCGGUUUCUCGAGCCUUUCCCCUGCAUGUCAAGCCCAGGUAAGGUUCUUCGCGUUGCGUCGAAUUAAACCACAUGCUCCACCGCUUGUGCAGGCCCCCGUCAAUUUCUUUGAGUUUUAAUCUUGCGACCGUACUCCCCAGGCGGCGCGUUUAUCGCGUUAGCUUCGCCACAGAAGGGGUCGAUUCCUCCUACAGCAAACGCGCACCGUUUAAGGCUAGGACUAC
rnacentral:misc_RNA from 1 species